UAACAAAGCAAUUAACUGCCGAAGACAGCAGGUGCCGCAAGGCAUAAGUUGAAGACGCCUGCCGAGGAAGAUUAAAUUCUUAAUGUGAAUUUUAUGUCUCUGUGUCUUUGGAUACAGAGACUUUUUAUUUUUGGC
rfam:Clostridium sp. C105KSO13 isolate C105KSO131 genome assembly, contig: {contig164}